AGCUCCAAAGAAGCCAAACCCGGCUUCUUUCUCCACCUUCUAGCAGCCCGGCUUUCUUUCUCACAAUCACAGGUAAUUUUUUAAAAUUUUUCAAUACCUGUGAUUAAAGAAUCAACAAAGAAGGUUGAUCAAAUUUAGAUUAAAAUAAAACAAACAAAAAAAAUGAAGAAAAAGAAAAGGGCAAAUCAAAAAUCGACUUUGAGAAAAAUACAAAGAGUAUAUAGAUACAGCGACUUAUACAUACGUAUAUACAGGUGCAAAAUAGUUAGAAAUUGGCUUUUUUUUUUGGGCUUCUGGAUUCUGGAAUGGAAGUUUGAUGAGAAUUGGAUUUUUUAUUUUAACAUUUCUUUUUUUUUGGGGUGUGUGUUUGUAUACACUAUAUUCAAUAUUUGGGUGCGGAUGUUUGAGACGGGCUUCAGUUUAAAAAAGCGUGAUCAAUCCAAUUCUCUGUUUCUGAUGUGGGAAAACAAAUAAGGCCGUUAAGAUGAGCUCAGGCGCCGUUUUC
rnacentral:lncRNA from 1 species